UCUCUCUCUCUCUCGCUUUGUCUCCAUCAUCGUCGGGAACAGGAGCACCACCGCUAUCGCACACAAGCACCAUUGUCGAUCCACCAUUGGAGCAUUACCCAGAUUGGUUUUUGAUGACGUUUGGAAGCAUACUUGCAAAUGAAGAUCAACUGUUGAAUUUUUUUUUCUUGAACUGAUACUUAGUUCUAGUUGCAAAUCAGGAUCGAGUGUUAUUUUUAUUUUUGGACUCAACGUUAGUUCGUUUUGGAAUUUGCUAUGAUGGUUUUUGUUUAUUAUACUUAAUGGAUUAUUAAAUUCAUUUGUUUGAUGGAUUUAUUUUCAUUUAUAAUAUAAAUUGUUUAAUGAAUUUUUUUGUGGAA